rnacentral:rRNA from 1 species
UAAAAGUAAUCAUUUUUAGUAACGCCUGCUCAAUGAAAUUUUAAUAGCCGCAGACCCCUGUGCUAAGGUAGCAUAAUCACUUGCCUAAUAAUUAUAGGAUAGAAUGAAAGGUAUCACAUGUUUCCUUCUUUAUUAAAAAGACUAUUUUAAUUUUACAUUUAAGUAAAAAUCCUUAAAUUCUAAAGGAGGACGACAAGACCCUGUCGAACUUUACAUUAUUGUUUAGCUGGGGUGGCAAUAAAUAAAACCUUUAUACUUAUCAAAAAAACAACCCACCCAAUAGGAAUACACCAAGUUACCGCAGGGAUAACAGCAUAAUUUUUCCUAAGAGACCUUAUCAAAGAAAAAGAUUGUGACCUCGAUGUUGAAUUAAAAUUCUUUUACGAAGCAGAAUUCUAAAAAGAGAGUCUGUUCGACUCUUAAAAAUUU